rnacentral:misc_RNA from 1 species
GCGUACAUAAGUUCAUUUAUACUUUCUUAGAGAUCAUAUUCAUAUGCUAUUGGAACCCCAUAUAUAUGCUUGAUGUUUUCUCUGUCAUUUUCAUAGUACACAUUGACUGGUAUCUUUUUGUAUAUAAUACGGAUGUUUGAUAGAUUCAUACAUUUAGAUUCUAUCUCAAAGAAUCCUAGGUUACUUAUAGCAUUGAUUGCUCUAGCAUGUGG